rnacentral:sRNA from 1 species
AGAUGUGAGAAAGAUCUGGCUAGGACAUCUGUCACCCCUUUGAUUGUCAGGGUUCAUUCGACUGACCUGGCUGACUAGGUGGGUGUCCCCUUUCUUCCUCAGCACCCCAAAAGUCUCUCCCAAAGCUGUGUGCUUGGCCUAAGAGGACCUUCCUCAAAUAGGGGAGGGCCAGUGUUCUGUCAAGGGUAUGCAGCAGCUGUGUCCCCUUCUAGAACUCCCCAACAAGCUCUCCAAAUGCAGCGCCCAGUGCACUCACCUGGUCCUGGAAACACUCUGCUUCCUGGG